AGAAGAAGGAAGAUAGAAGAAUCCAGUGUGUUUGGUUUUAGAAUUCCUACGCUUUACC
rnacentral:precursor_RNA from 1 species